GAUGAAGAACGCAGCGAAAUGCGAUAAGUAGUGUGAAUUGCAGAAUUCAGUGAAUCAUCGAAUCUUUGAACGCACAUUGCGCCCUUCGGUAUUCCGUUGGGCAUGCCUGUUCGAGCGUCAUUUGAAAAUUCAAGCUCAGCUUGGUGUUGGGUGCUUGUCCCCCCCUUCCGCGGGGGGACUCACCUCAAAUGCAUUGGCGGCCGGCAUGUUGGCUUCGAGCGCAGUAGAAACGCGCCCGGCGUCUGGACGUGCCCGGUCUUCCACGAAGCCCACUUUUAACGCUUGACCUCGGAUCAGGUAGGGAUACCCGCUGAACUUAAGCAUAUCAAUAAGCGGAGGA
rnacentral:misc_RNA from 1 species